ACCUACUUAACUCAGUGGUUAGAGUACCGCUUUCAUACGGCGGGAGUCAUUGAUUCAAAUCCAAUAGUAGGUA
rnacentral:tRNA from 1 species